GACGAACGCUGGCGGCGUGCUUAACACAUGCAAGUCGAGCGAGGCCCCUCCUUCGGGAGGGUGUCCUAGCGGCGAACGGGUGAGUAACACGUGGGCAACCUGCCCUCAGCUCUGGGAUAACUCCGGGAAACCGGGGCUAAUACCGGAUACGACCUCCACGGGCAUCUGCGGAGGUGGAAAGUUUUUCGGCUGAGGAUGGGCCCGCGGCCUAUCAGCUAGUUGGUGGGGUAGUGGCCCACCAAGGCGACGACGGGUAGCCGGCCUGAGAGGGCGACCGGCCACACUGGGACUGAGACACGGCCCAGACUCCUACGGGAGGCAGCAGUGGGGAAUAUUGCGCAAUGGGCGAAAGCCUGACGCAGCGACGCCGCGUGAGGGACGAAGGCCUUUGGGUUGUAAACCUCUUUCAGCAGGGACGAAGCGAAAGUGACGGUACCUGCAGAAGAAGCACCGGCCAACUACGUG
rnacentral:rRNA from 1 species